AUGAGUGACACAAACUGCCCGAUAAUGAGCUGGAAUGUGCGGGGUUUGAACUCGCCGGCCCGCGAGAAGGUUUUGGAGACGGCGGAGAUGCAUAGACUCGCCAUCCUCUGCCUACAGGAAACGAAGAUCGAUGAAUGGACCAGGGCACUAGUUAGGGAAACUGGAGGAGCGCGGCUAGACGACUACGUCGUCCUCCCUGCCGCGGGCAUGAGGGGAGGCGUCGCAAUCUUCUGGGACAAGAAUCGAGUACAGGUGCUAUCGCAGGCCGUCGGCUGCUUCUCCAUUACCGCCAGGAUCACCAUCAUCGCUAGCGGUGCUACGUUCUGGCUGACGACAGUCUACGGGCCGGUCGACGAUGGAAGGAAGGAUGAUUUCCUGGCCGAGCUGGCACGGCCUGCUCCGCCGUCAAACGCCCCUGGCUCAUCAACGGCGACUUCAACCUGA
rnacentral:rRNA from 1 species